UGCAGUCGAGCGACUUUUAAAGCUUGCUUUUAAAAGUUAGCGGCGGACGGGUGAGUAACACGUGGGCAACCUACCUGUAAGACUGGGAUAACUUCGGGAAACCGGAGCUAAUACCGGAUAAUUCUUUUCUACACAUGUAGAAAAGCUGAAAGACGGUUUCGGCUGUCACUUACAGAUGGGCCCGCGGCGCAUUAGCUAGUUGGUGAGGUAAUGGCUCACCAAGGCAACGAUGCGUAGCCGACCUGAGAGGGUGAUCGGCCACACUGGGACUGAGACACGGCCCAGACUCCUACGGGAGGCAGCAGUAGGGAAUCUUCCGCAAUGGACGAAAGUCUGACGGAGCAACGCCGCGUGAGUGAUGAAGGUUUUCGGAUCGUAAAACUCUGUUGUUAGGGAAGAACAAGUACGAUAGUAACUGAUCGUACCUUGACGGUACCUAACCAGAAAGCCACGGCUAACUACGUGCCAGCAGCCGCGGUAAUACGUAGGUGGCAAGCGUUGUCCGGAAUUAUUGGGCGUAAAGCGCGCGCAGGUGGUUUCUUAAGUCUGAUGUGAAAGCCCACGGCUCAACCGUGGAGGGUCAUUGGAAACUGGGGAACUUGAGUGCAGGAGAGAAGAGUGGAAUUCCACGUGUAGCGGUGAAAUGCGUAGAGAUGUGGAGGAACACCAGUGGCGAAGGCGACUCUUUGGCCUGUAACUGACACUG
rnacentral:rRNA from 1 species